CAGAAAAUAGUUUAAGUAAAAUAUUAAUUUUGGGGAUUAAUGAUAAAGAAUUUCUUUUUUUCUGA